AUUUAUAUUUCCCUAGUAAAAACCAGGAUUCCAGGCAGAUUACAAAUUAAAGCACAACACAGUUUAAACCUGCAAAAGAUCAACAUGAAAAUGGGUCAGAUCGAUCACAACUGGAUUCACUUAAUCCGGAUCUUUCCACAACGAGGCAGACCAAGUCCCAUCAAGGGAAAAGAUGGAUAGGUCCAUGUGGCAAGAAGAAAAGGCCCACGAGCUUCAGGGAGGGCUUUUCCAUUAAUUUGCCACAUCAGGGAAGACAGCCUGAUGGACUUCCAAUUUCCGCCGUAAUUGGAUGUAAAGCGAGGACUUCUCGGGCCACUUCUCAAGACUAAAGCCGUUGACAAAUCUACUUGGAAAUGCUGGGGAUUGAAAGUGGAAGAACCAUCCAUGUGUGAAGCAGGUGCUCUGACUGCUAAAACACUGCCAACGUGGGGCAAGGCGAUGGAAACGAACAUGCGAGGGGCAUGGGAAGCUUUUCAGAAGAGGAAUUUUGAGUGGGACGCAGCCCUGCCUCCUAGAAACUCAAGUGAAAGGCUUGACCUUUGGACGCCGCAGCAAACGUACCGACUUGAGAGUCUUCCUUCCUACUGUAAGCAAACUGGAAUUGGCCCACAAGACAAAGAUAUUGCAAGGCGGCACAAUCGCAUCCCUCCUUGGGGUGAGGCACUUGGAUGGAACGAGGCAGGAAAAAAGAUUUGGAAAAACCAGAGGGAGGAAACCGUAGCAGCAAGGAGAUACACACAGUGGCAAUCCAUCGAGAUGCUUUUCCUUUCUGCCGGAGAGACUGUGUCCUCCUGACACAUGCGAUCAAGAAAGCCAAGUUCAACAGGUACCUUCCAUCAACAGAGCUUCAGAUCCUACAGUUUACAAAAUCUGAAGAUAUCAGCAGCCAUUAAGGAGGCAUCAUUUACUAGCGGG